rnacentral:rRNA from 1 species
UAACCGUAGAGUAUGAUCCUGGGUCAGAUUGUCUAGUUGGGGAGGCAAUGGAUCUCCAAGGUGACGAUCCGUAACUGGUCUGAGAGGAUGAUCAGUCACACUGGAACUGAGACACGGUCCAGACUCCUACGGGAGGCAGCAGUGGGGAAUAUUGGACAAUGGGCGAAAGCCUGAUCCAGCCAUGCCGCGUGUGUGAAGAAGGUCUUCGGAUUGUAAAGCACUUUAAGUUGGGAGGAAGGGCAGUUACCUAAUACGUGAUUGUUUUGACGUUACCGACAGAAUAAGCACCGGCUAACUCUGUGCCAGCAGCCGCGGUAAUACAGAGGGUGCAAGCGUUAAUCGGAAUUACUGGGCGUAAAGCGCGCGUAGGUGGUUUGUUAAGUUGGAUGUGAAAUCCCCGGGCUCAACCUGAGAACUGCAUUCAAAACUGACUGACUAGAGUAUGGUAGAGGGUGGUGGAAUUUCCUGUGUAGCGGUGAAAUGCGUAUAUAUAGGAAGGAACACCAGUGGCGAAGGCGACCACCUGGACUAAUACUGACACUGAGGUGCGAAAGCGUGAGGAGCAACAAGAUUAGAUACCCCU